CUCCAUUGUUCUCAAACUUAAAGUGUCUCAGGUUCUUCUACAGCAGGCUGAGCAGAGUCUGGAUAAUGUAGAGGCGGCCCAAUUGGACGCCCCUUGCUUUGAUGAGGUGGAUGCUGUGAUGAAGAGGGCGCACAUGGAAAAAGAGUGCAGGGAUGGUGUUGGGAAGGCUGUGGGACCACCGUUUAAAAAUUAUAUUCCCAACUGGACCAUUAAUGGAGAUGAGGAGGUCAGUCAGUACAGCUCAGCUCAAGAUGAGAGCUUCGACAGCACAUCCCUUCCUAGUAGUGUAAAGGAUGAGGGAAGUUCAGAUGGUUUGGACUAUACACAGACACAGCAAUCUAGCAUGUUCUACACACCCAAACAUCACCUGUCCAACCACAC
rnacentral:lncRNA from 1 species